GGGGCUAACAGAGGCCUGGACCACAGGUAAGAAAGAGACAUGGGUGCGAUGAUACAUACAAGGGUCUUUGCAAGAGCUGAAGAUCCUCAACCAGCUUUGCACCCGAAGUAGCUGCCCUAUGCAUCCACAGCCUGGUGCUCCUGGGAGGACACUGCCUGCUACUGAGUUCCUUCAGCUGUUGACAUUUAUGGACAGCGGGAGGAAAGAGCUGACGUCCUAAAACGUGGCGGGAAGUCUCCCCAGGCCGAGCGUUCCCUGGACCGCUGGGAGCCAGUGAGAGCAACACCUUCAACCAGACGCCUCUUCCUGGAUGGCCUCGGAGGCUGCACCCACAGGGGCUCAACCAAGGGACACUCAAGCUUACAAAAUCAAACGCUGCCUUGUCACCAAGGUCAAGGAGAGCAGCGGCACGGGGGGCUGUGAGUACAGACCUGGAUGACGUUAUUCAGGAAAGUCUCCUUACAGGGCCUGGCACAUGUCUGGCCUUGAUAAUAACAGCCGAAACACACACCCUCCCCUCACAAGCCCUGCAGUUUCACAUGGACGCUCCCCGUGGCUCACAGCGCUCUCAGCAGCCCCCAGACAGCUGCCUUCUGCGGGUCUCUCCCUUGCAAGCGGUCCCGGGGUCUCUCCCGACCCCAGCAGCUUUGUGUCCCAGACGGCUGCCAUCAUUCAUGUACCAGAACCCUGGUGCCACUGUUACCCAAGCCAGCUGACCUGGAAACUUGCCGUUUGGGCAAGGCUCAGCGGGGAUCUGGGUCCCUCGGACAGGCCACGAGACACUGAACAUCUCUGGGCUACAGUGUUCUGUUCCCUCAUCUGAAAAUGAUGAUGAUCAACAGUACAUGGUGUCCACACACACACACACACACACACACACACACACGAGAAUCUUCACUCACCUUGACUGAG